rfam:Gossypium raimondii chromosome 10, whole genome shotgun sequence.
AAUCCAUACAUCGGGCAUUUUUGAAUUCAAUCUCUAAAUCGUUCCCAAGCUUCAUAUAAUGUUUUAUCCUCUAAUUUUUGAAAAUACGUGAAGUCAUUCUUGAGCUU